UCGCCCUACGGGGGGCAGCAGCCGCGGUAAUACGGAGGAUCCGAGCGUUAUCCGGAUUCAUUGGGUUUAAAGGGUGCGUAGGUUGUUUUAUAAGUUAGCGGUGAAAUACCGAUGCUCAACAUCGGGGCUGCCGCUAAUACUGUAGGACUAGAGAUCGGAUGCAGCAGGCGGAAUGUGUAGUGUAGCGGUGAAAUGCAUAGAUAUUACACAGAACACCGAUUGCGAAGGCAGCUUGCUAGGCCGGAUCUGACACUGAUGCACGAAAGCGUGGGGAUCGAACAGGAUUAGAUACCCUGGUAGUCCCA
rnacentral:rRNA from 1 species